rnacentral:rRNA from 1 species
AACGAACGCUGGCGGCAUGCUUAACACAUGAACAAGUCGAACGAUGGCUUCGGCCAUAGUGGCGGACGGGUGAGUAGCGCGUGGGAACCUGCCCCGAGGUACGGAAUAACCGCUGGAAACGGCGGCUAAUACCGUAUGAGCCCUGAGGGGGAAAGAUUUAUCGCCUUGGGAGGGGCCCGCGUCCCGAUUAGGUAGUUGGGUGAGGUAAAGGCUCACCAAGCCUGCGAUCGGUAGCUGGUCUGAGAGGAUGAUCAGCCACACUGGGACUGAGACACGGCCCAGACUCCUACGGGAGGCAGCAGUGGGGAAUAUUGGACAAUGGGCGAAAGCCUGAUCCAGCCAUGCCGCGUGAGUGAUGAAGGCCCUAGGGUUGUAAAGCUCUUUCAACGGUGAAGAUAAUGACGGUAACCGUAGAAGAAGCCCGGCUAACUUCGUGCCAGCAGCCGCGGUAAU